CCGGAAGGAGAGUGGCGUAAGGGUAGUAACGCGUGGGUACCUACCUCUAAGUUGGGGACAACCCUUCGAAAGAGAGGCUAAUACCGAAUGUGGUCAUACGGCGUAGGCUGUCAUGAUCAAAGAUGGGGAUCCUUCGGGACCUGUCGCUUGGAGAGGGGCCCGCGUGCCAUCAGCUUGUUGGUAGGGUAACGGCCUACCAAGGCUUACGGCUAGCUGGUCUGAGAGGAUGAUCAGCCACACUGGGACUGAGACACUGCCCAGACUCCUACGGGAGGCUGCAGUCGAGGAUCAUUCGCAAUGCGCGAAAGCGUGACGAUGCGACGCUGCGUGGAGGAUGACGGCCCUAGGGUUGUAAACUCCUGUCAUUCGGGAAAAACGACUUUUGGAUUAAUACCCCAGGAGAGUGAGGUACCGGAA
rnacentral:rRNA from 1 species